UACGAAGGGGGCUAGCGUUGCUCGGAAUCACUGGGCGUAAAGCGCACGUAGGCGGCUUCUUAAGUCAGGGGUGAAAUCCUGGAGCUCAACUCCAGAACUGCCUUUGAUACUGAGAAGCUUGAGUCCGGGAGAGGUGAGUGGAACUGCGAGUGUAGAGGUGAAAUUCGUAGAUAUUCGCAAGAACACCAGUGGCGAAGGCGGCUCACUGGCCCGUAACUGACGCUGAGGCACGAAAGCGUGGGGAGCAAACAGG
rnacentral:rRNA from 1 species